UCCAACAAUAGAAAGAGUCACAAUGUAGAAGUUUCCUCCUCAUCAGAAUUUGUUUCUGAGAUAAACAGUUCAUAAUUAUUUUUCUUUCGAACUCUGUGUGUGGCGUAAUAUAUGAUCAGGCUUGACAUUCUUCCAUAUCCAGAACAUCUCAGAACCAACAUCUUGUGUCCAGAACAUCACAGAACCAACAUCUUGUGCCUAGAACAUCACAGAACCAUUGUGUUUUCUCUAGAACAUGUUCUCUUGAAGAGACUGUAGAUAAAUACGCAGCAGCCUCUCAACUUUAGACUAAACCAAAACAUAUGGACAAAAUCUGCAAAACCCUUCGCAUCGGUCACACACAUCCUCGACGACCGUCCUGAUCCAUCCUACUUCUGGAAGGGGUCCUGUUUACCGGAAAGCACUCACUGCAGAUGAUCAUGGUUACCACAGGUCCUUAGACUGGAGAUCGAAAUGAGAGAUAAAACCAGAACCAUUCUUAAAGAAUGUUGAGUAAAGUUGAGCUUUGCUCAAGGGCCCUGAUUGGUGGUGCUGGGAUUUGAACUCAUAAGCUUUCAACCAGAAGGUCUGAAAAAACAUAAAAAUCACUGAGCUAUAACAUUCCCUUUGAAGAACCUUAUCAUGACACAAACACAUAUUCACUGCAUAUUAAUGAUUAGCUCAUAGAGAUCCACCCAAAC